UACAGAGGGGGCAAGCGUUGUUCGGUAUUACUGGGCGUAAAGGGCGCGUAGGCGGCCUGUUAAGUCGAACGUGAAAUCCCCGGGCUCAACCCGGGAACUGCGUCCGAUACUGGCAGGCUUGAAUUCGGGAGAGGGAUGUGGAAUUCCAGGUGUAGCGGUGAAAUGCGUAGAUAUCUGGAGGAACACCGGUGGCGAAGGCGGCAUCCUGGACCGAUAUUGACGCUGAUGCGCGAAAGCCAGGGGAGCAAACGGG
rnacentral:rRNA from 1 species